AGGGCACCACCAGGAGUGGAGCCUGCGGCUUAAUUUGACUCAACACGGGAAAACUCACCCGGCCCGGACACUGUAAGGAUUGACAGACUGAGAGCUCUUUCUUAAUUCAGUGGGUGGUGGUGCAUGGCCGUUCUUAGUUGGUGGAGCGAUUUGUCUGGUUAAUUCCGAUAACGAACGAGACUCUGGCCUAUUAAAUAGACGAGAUAUUACUCUGCAUCUCGCGCUUCUUAGAGGGACAAGCGGCGUCUAGUCGUAUGAAAAAGAGCAAUAACAGGUCUGUGAUGCCCUUAGAUGUCCGGGGCUGCACGCGCGCUACACUGAAAGAAUCAGUGGGCGUUUCACCUGGUUCGGAAGAACCGGGUAACCCAAGUAAUUUCUUUCGUGCUUGGGAUAGGGAAUUGCAGUUAUUUCCCUUAAACGAGGAAUUCCCAGUAAACGCGGGUCAUAAGCUCGUGUUGAUUACGUCCCUGCCCUUUGUACACACCGCCCGUCGCUACUACCGAUUGGAUGACUUAGUGA
rnacentral:rRNA from 1 species